ensembl:lncRNA
UUGCGGGGCAGGAUGAACGGAGCCAAGUACAUGGAGACGGAGUUCUGAGGCAGAACCUGAUGAAAUCUACAAGACAGGAAAUAGGUUGGAAAUUUAUAUUCCAACGUGAGAAAUAACCCCAAGAAUAAGGUCAAAACUCCAGUGUGGCUCGCUAGGAACAAGAUCCAACUGUGCAACUAUGGAAUGACUUGAAGGUCGCUGUCCAUCAGUGAAACCCAACUUACCUUUCCCAGCUAGAACAGUUCUGCGAAGAGGAGCGAGGGAUGAUCUCCAAAUCCAGGUGUCCAGACUGGUGUAGAUAUAGCUGCCUCUAACACGUCUUGACUCUGGGGUGUGUAUUCUCUUUUAUUUCUAAAUCAACACCAAUUCACUGCUUUUAUGUGGUAAAAUGCACGAUUAACUAUUAUCACAGCAGACACAUUACUCAUACAUAAUGUCCUCAUAAGGUUCUAUGUUAGCCCAGUUAUCAUUUAUUGGUUAAUAUUUGUUUGGCUCCGCCCACAUGGUACAUGGCGCUCUUACCGAAACAAACAAACUAAACAAAUUUUCAAAGUUUUCAAAGAGCGAGACUGUGUCCAAGUCCCGAAUUAAUUGUAAAAGGUUGUUCCAUGAAACGCUCUGCCUCGUGCUGUAGCCUUCAUUAUUAUAGGUACUAAUAAAGAGCCUGCACGCUUUGAUCGCAAUACAAUCCCACUAGUUCAACAUAGAGGUAACAAAAGCAUGUGAUGCUAUUAUAUUUCUUAUCCUAGCAUGAUGAAAGAAGGCUAUCAUGGUAAUAUUAUCUACAUGAGCUUCAAAAGAGAUCACAAAGCUUACUUCUAGCUGCACGUGCUCCUAAAAAAUCAAUAAAAAUGCUAACACUAUAGUUUGUAAAAUACGUUUUUUAGCUCUUUUUUUGCAAGCUUAUUGGUUGCGAUUUAGAUCUUUGGUGCAUAAAAAACCCCAAAUGGUGCUUCGUCACGAUUCAAAGGAUAACUUUAAAAAGCAUUAGUUUAAUAAUUAAGACUGCGCUAAUACAAUGACCGAGUGCCGUUUCACUGUCGAUGUUCAGUUUAAAAACAGACCAAGAGCUGAACUGUUUUUAGACAGGGAAAAUGAAGACGUGUUUGUAUUCGAUAUAUUAUUUGUAUUGAAGCGGCGGUGUGUAAUGAAGCGAGAUUGAAAGUGAGUAAAAUGAGGCUUUUCUUCACAACAUCUGGAAAUAAAGCCAGCGAGUGUUCGGCGGUUUAAUAAUACACAUUAACGUGAUUAAGCAAAGCAGCUUACGGCGGAUUGGAGUCAUUUUCUAUUUUUC